AACGAACGCUGGCGGCAUGCCUAACACAUGCAAGUCGAACGAGACCUUCGGGUCUAGUGGCGCACGGGUGCGUAACGCGUGGGAACCUGCCCUUAGGUUCGGAAUAACUCCCCGAAAGGGGUGCUAAUACCGGAUAAUGUCUUCGGACCAAAGAUUUAUCGCCUUUGGAUGGGCCCGCGUUGGAUUAGCUAGUUGGUAGGGUAAAAGCCUACCAAGGCGACGAUCCAUAGCUGGUCUGAGAGGAUGAUCAGCCACACUGGGACUGAGACACGGCCCAGACGCCGACGGGAGGCAGCAGAGGGGAAGAUUGGACAAGGGGCGAAAGCCUGAUCCAGCAAUGCCGCGGGAGUGAUGAAGGCCUUAGGGUGGUAAAGCUCUUUUACCCGGGAUGAUAAGGACAGGACCGGGAGAAUAAGCUCAGGAGAACUCCGG
rnacentral:rRNA from 1 species